AACGUAGGAGACGAACGUUAUCCGGAGUUACUGGGCGUAAAGAGCGCGCAGGCGGUCGUUCAAGUCGAGUGUGAAAGCCCCCGGCUCAACUGGGGAGGGUCAUUCGAUACUGAUCGACUCGAAGGCAGGAGAGGGAAGCGGAAUUCCCGGUGUAGUGGUGAAAUGCGUAGAUAUCGGGAGGAACACCAGUGGCGAAGGCGGGUCUCUGGGCCGAAAACUGACGCUGAGGAGCGAAAGGCGUGGGGAGCAAACAGG
rnacentral:rRNA from 1 species